GAUGAACGCUGGCGGCGUGCUUAACACAUGCAAGUCGAACGAUUAAAGCCCCUUCGGGGGUGUAUAGAGUGGCGAACGGGUGAGUAACACGUGGGUAACCUGCCCUAUGCUUUGGGAUAACUCAGGGAAACUUGAGCUAAUACCGAAUACUCCGGACUGAUCGCAUGGUCGGUCCGGGAAAGUUCCGGCGGCAUAGGAUGGACCCGCGUUGGAUUAGCUAGUUGGUGAGAUAACAGCCCACCAAGGCAACGAUCCAUAGCCGGCCUGAGAGGGUGAACGGCCACAUUGGGACUGAGACACGGCCCAAACUCCUACGGGAGGCAG
rnacentral:rRNA from 1 species